CUUUAGGAGUGUUACUAUCUAGCAAGAUGUUAAAGCAAAUUUGUUAGUAACUUUCCUCUGACUGUGUGGAUAAGUUUAACACUGAGCAGAAUGCACAAAUUUGAAUUCAAUCUUACCAGCUGGUUGGAAUGUACGGCAAAAUAUUUUUUUGGAUUUCAGAGAAAGUAGUAGCUGCCCAUUUCUGCAUCCUGGCUGCAUCCGUGAGCCUGGUUCUCUGAAGUCAGAGCUUGUUUGUGAUCGUGACUUUGCUCCCAGGUGCCUGGUACCCAAGGAAAGCAUGCAAACAGAGGCAGCAAAGGCUUGGCAAGAAAGAUUCAGCUGAGCCUGCUCCACCUACAUGACGGACUAUGGCAUCCUGCACAAAUUAUAGCAAUAAAUGGACCUCUAUUCACUUGCA
rnacentral:lncRNA from 1 species